rnacentral:rRNA from 1 species
UACAGAGGGUGCUAGCGUUGUUCGGAAUUAUUGGGCGUAAAGGGCGCGUAGGCGGUGCGGUAAGUCACCUGUGAAAUCUCCUGGCUCAACUGGGAGCUUGCAGGCGAAACUGCCGUGCUGGAGUGUGGGAGAGGUGCGUGGAAUUCCUGGUGUAGCGGUGAAAUGCGUAGAUAUCAGGAGGAACACCUGUGGCGAAAGCGGCGCACUGGACCACAACUGACGCUGAGGCGCGAAAGCUAGGGGAGCAAACAGG